AUUGAACGCUGGCGGCAGGCCUAACACAUGCACGUCGAACGAGUGGCGGACGGGUGAGUAAUGUCUGGGAAACUGCCUGAUGGAGGGGGAUAACUACUGGAAACGGUAGCUAAUACCGCCUACCAUCGGAUGUGCCCAGAUGGGAUUAGCUAGUAGGUGGUGGAAAGGCUCACCGAGGCGACGAUCCCUAGCUGGUCUGAGAGGAUGACCAGCAACAGUGGAACUGAGACACGGGACAGACGCAGACGGGAGGCAGCAGUGGGGAAUAUUGAACAAUGGGCGCAAGCCUGAUGCAGCCAUGCAGCGUGUAUGAAGAAGGCCUUCGGGUUGAAAAGUACUUUCAGCGGGGAGGCGUUACCCGCAGAAGAAGCAACGGUUAACUCCGCGCCAGCAGCCGCGGGAAUA
rnacentral:rRNA from 1 species